AGUGAACGCUGGCGGUAGGCCUAACACAUGCAAGUCGAACGGCAGCACAGUAAGAGCUUGCUCUUACGGGUGGCGAGUGGCGGACGGGUGAGGAAUACAUCGGAAUCUACUUUUUCGUGGGGGAUAACGUAGGGAAACUUACGCUAAUACCGCAUACGACCUACGGGUGAAAGCAGGGGAUCUUCGGACCUUGCGCGGUUGAAUGAGCCGAUGUGGGAUUAGCUAGUUGGCGGGGUAAAGGCCCACCAAGGCGACGAUCCGUAGCUGGUCUGAGAGGAUGAUCAGCCACACUGGAACUGAGACACGGUCCAGACUCCUACGGGAGGCAGCAGUGGGGAAUAUUGGACAAUGGGCGCAAGCCUGAUCCAGCCAUACCGCGUGGGUGAAGAAGGCCUUCGGGUUGUAAAGCCCUUUUGUUGGGAAAGAAAAGCAGCAGGUUAAUACCCCGCUGUUCUGACGGUACCCAAAGAAUAAGCACCGGCUAACUUCGU
rnacentral:rRNA from 1 species